UAUUAGGAUAAUGGUCUCUCUCCAUUUGUCUGUGAACAACAAUACACUCACGUACACUCACUUAGUGGGGAGGGUUUUAUUCAGCUUUUAAUUUUCACAAAACGUAUUAAUUAAGGAGGCAGACCAAUUCAAUGUUGACAGGUGGAGCUGAGUGAUUUGGGCUUGUGUGAUUUUCGAAAGAAAUUCAAGAUAAAUAAAGAGAGUAUUGGUGAACCACCCUAAAAAAAAGAAAAAUGAAAGAGAACUCAAAAUUAUUGUAUUCCAGUUUUCUUUCAUUAUCUUCUUCGCCUACCAUCACCACUGGUGAACAACUAUUUCACUGCCACUCCACCACCGUGAAAAAACCUACCUCAACCACUCCUAAUCACCACUAACCUCCUUCUCCAUUUUUUUCACCGUCGUGCAAACCCAUAACCACCUUCAGUUAAAACUUUAUCCGAUUCAUAAAUAACUCACCCGAAAUCACCUUAAAAUCUCCACUAUAAAACACAACCAAACGCUCGUUGUCACCACUUCCAUACUCCCUCCUGAGACAAGCUAAACGUGACUAAAACCACCUCUGUCCAUCACUUUAUCUCCACCAUAACACUACCACUUAAGCCUCUAUCUUCCUCAUUUUUGAUCAGCAAUAAUAACAACCUCACUGUGAAUUUGUUUUAGUGGGCAUGUUUCUUCCAACAAAAAUCCAUUCCUUUGACGACAACAUCCUUUUAUCUGGUGAUGGUUUAUCAGCAAUAUGACCACGGGGGAAUGGUUGAAACAUCAUGUCUCUUACCCCCAUGUCUUGGGUUCAAAUCCUUAUUGCCACUUUUCCUUGUAAUUUUUCCAUUUAUCUCAUUUUUUUCAUUCUUUUUCCACCUUGUUUUUUGUUUUCUUUUGCAUUUUUUUAACUAUCCAAAUUGAUUUUCUUUCUAAUUCUUGUGAGAUAGACUUCUUAUUUGUGACAUUAUAUUUGUAGCUUAAUUUUUUUCCACUUAUUUUAUCCUGAUUACAACCAUUGCAAAUGCCCCAUGUGAAUGUUUAAAAUAAUGCGAUACUUGUUGAAUUUUUGCCUUGUUCCUUUGAAUAUUUUCGUUGCUAAACAUUGGAUUUUAAUUCGUUGAUCCGAUAUUUACCAUGUUGUUAUUCCAUUGAUUAUUUUAUCGAUACAUUGAUGGUAUUUCGCCGCGUUUUGAUCCAUCGCAUACGAUAUUUCCAUUGUUGUCAAUAUGCGCAAACCGACUUUAAACACAUUACCUAGGGUUUUGCUUGCACCUCUCAAUUUCAUUUAUUCCUUGCAUGUCAUUGCAUUAUGUGACUUUGAUUCGCAACCUCGCAUCCCAAUUUUAAUAUAUGCACACUUCAAUUUCACUUUUUUCGAUUUAAUUAUUGAACGUGUUGUACAUAUAACUUGUGUGUUGCUAUUUUUUUCACAAGGCUUACUCUUAGGCCUUCUUACAAUGAGACCAUUCUCUUGCAUUUACACUAAUUUAUUAUUGUUUGUUGAUUGAGCUUUAUUUAAUUGUUUCAUUAUCUUGUAUCUCCAUGAGACAAAAUGAACCCAAUUCCCAUGA